UACGGGGGGAGCAAGCGUUGUUCGGAUUUACUGGGCGUAAAGGGCGUGUAGGCGGCCACCGCAAGUCGGUUGUGAAAUCUCCGGGCUUAACCCGGAAAGGUCAACCGAUACUGCGGGGCUAGAGUGCAGAAGGGGCAACUGGAAUUCUCGGUGUAGCGGUGAAAUGCGUAGAUAUCGUAAGGAAGACCAGUGGCGAAGGCGGGUCUCUGGACAGUUCCUGACGCUGAGGCACGAAGGUCAGGGGAGCAAACGGG
rnacentral:rRNA from 1 species